rnacentral:tRNA from 1 species
UGUCGAUAUGUCCGAGUGGUUAAGGAAACGGACUUAAAAUCAGUCGGGCUUUGCCUGCGCAGGUUUGAAUCCUACUGUCAACGU